rnacentral:misc_RNA from 1 species
AACGCACCUUGCGCCGCUCGGUUUUCCGAGGGGCACGUCUGUUUGAGUGUCACGUUAAUCUCUCACUUCCCUUCGGGUGAAUGUGGAAUUGGACCGUGCUGUCGCUUGUCGACGGCUCGUCUCGAAAUGCAUAAUGCCUGCAGAGUCUUGCGUGGACCGCGGGUGGGGAAACGGUGUGAUAGUAAAUGUUACGCUGGACUACUCGCUCGAUGGAUCACUGCACUAGGAGCGCUCUGGGCUUAAAUAAACGAGGGUUGGGUUCGCUCGACUCCCACUUUAUUUUUAAGCGUUUGACCUCAAAUCAGACGGGACUACCCGCUGAACUUAA